CCUACGGGAGGCAGCAGUGGGGAAUUUUGGACAAUGGGGGCAACCCUGAUCCAGCCAUUCCGCGUGAGUGAAGAAGGCCUUCGGGUUGUAAAGCUCUUUCGCAAGGGAAGAAAACUUAUGAUCGAAUAAAUCAUGAGGUUGACGGUACCUUGAUAAGAAGCACCGGCUAACUACGUGCCAGCAGCCGCGGUAAUACGUAGGGUGCGAGCGUUAAUCGGAAUUACUGGGCGUAAAGCGUGCGCAGGCGGUUUUGUAAGUCGGAUGUGAAAUCCCCGGGCUCAACCUGGGAACUGCGUUCGAAACUGCAAGGCUAAAGUGUGUCAGAGGGGGGUAGAAUUCCACGUGUAGCAGUGAAAUGCGUAGAGAUGUGGAGGAAUACCAAUGGCGAAGGCAGCCCCCUGGGAUAACACUGACGCUCAUGCACGAAAGCGUGGGGAGCAAACAGGAUUAGAUACCCUGGUAGUCCACGCCCUAAACGAUGUCAACUAGUUGUUGGUAGAGUAAAAUCUAUGAGUAACGUAGCUAACGCGUGAAGUUGACCGCCUGGGGAGUACGGUCGCAAGNUUAAAACUUAAAGGAAUUGACGG
rnacentral:rRNA from 1 species